rnacentral:lncRNA from 1 species
UUAUAUUGAAAAAAUUCGUCUUGCCGUUGGUUUUAUUCAAGAAAAUAAUCGUAGAUCGAGAAUUAGAGAAUUUAAAGUUAAAUGUCAAGAAAAUGGACUUACACCGAUUUUGAUGCCUGAGGAAAUUGAUACUAGAUGAAAUUCUACGUAUGAAUUUUUAAAAACUUGUUAUAAAUAUAGAAUUCCUAUUACACUAGCUUUUAACCAACAUUGCGGUUCAUUUGCUGAUUCUGCUGAUUGCAUGCUACAUAAUUCUGAUUGGGUUGUAAUUAAUAAUCUU